rnacentral:misc_RNA from 1 species
GAUGAAGAACGUAGCGAAAUGCGAUAAGUAAUGUGAAUUGCAGAAUUCAGUGAAUCAUCGAAUCUUUGAACGCACAUUGCGCCCGCCAGUAUUCUGGCGGGCAUGCCUGUCCGAGCGUCAUUUCAACCCUCGAACCCCUCCGGGGGGUCGGCGUUGGGGACCUCGGGAGCCCCUAAGACGGGAUCCCGGCCCCGAAAUACAGUGGCGGUCUCGCCGCAGCCUCUCCUGCGCAGUAGUUUGCACAACUCGCACCGGGAGCGCGGCGCGUCCACGUCCGUAAAACACCCAGCUUCUGAAAUGUUGACCUCGGAUCAGGUAGGAAUACCCGCUGAACUUAAGCAUAUCAAUAAGCGGAGGA